rnacentral:rRNA from 1 species
UAAAAAUUAAUAAUUUAUUUUUUUUAUCCCGAAUCUAAAAGAGUUAAUAAUUUAUAAAUUUUAUUGUAAAAUAAAUAUUUAUAAUAAAUUUUUUGUAAUGAAAUGUUAGUCGUUUUUUGAUAUAUCUGGUUUUUUGAGAAAUAAAUUUAAUUUAUUAUUAAAAUUUAGAUCUUAUAUUUUUUUAUAAGUUUUAAUUUUUAUUUUAAACUAAUUAUGGGAUAAGCUUUAAUUAGAAUUUAUAUAAUUAUUUUUAAAAAAGUAAAUUAGUAGGAUUAGUAAUUUUUAUUUUAGUAGUUUUGUUAUAAUAAAUUUAUUUUUGGUUAUAAUUUUUAUGGUUUUUAUAUUUUUUAUCAAAAUUUUUUAAGAAAUUAGGUUUUAAAUAAAAAUGAUGAUUAAAUUAGUAUAUUUUUAUGUAAUGUUUAUUGUAAUAAUAAAGUUUUAAUAAAGGAAUUCAGCAAAUGAUUUUUUGCCUGUUUAUUAAAAACAUGGUUUUUAGAUUAUAAUUUAAGAUUUAACCUGCCCAAUGAAUAUUAAAUGGCCGCGGUAUUUUGACCGUGCAAAGGUAGCAUAAUAAUUAGUUCCUUAAUUAGGAGCUGGAAUGAAUGGUUGGACAAGAAAGUAGCUGUCUCUAUUAAAAUUAUAGAAUUUUAUUUUUAAGUUAAAGAGCUUAAAUGUUAUUAAAAGACGAGAAGACCCUAUAGAGUUUUAUUUUUUUAAAAAAAAAAUUAUUUUUGUAUUAGUAAUUUUAUUAUUUUUGAAUUAAUUUUGUUGGGGUGAUAGAAAAAUUUAGAUAACUUUUUUUAAAAAAAAUCAUUAAUUUAUGAUUAUUUGAUCCAUUUUUAUGAUUAUAAGAACAAAUUACCUUAGGGAUAACAGCGUUAUCAAAAUUGAGAGUUCUUAUCAAAAUUUUGGAUUGCGACCUCGAUGUUGGAUUAAAAUUUAUAUUAGGUGAAGAAGCUUAAUUAUUAGGUCUGUUCGACCUUUAAAAUUUU